AGAUUGGGGUAGUGGUUGCGGUAGAGUUUGAGUAUAGUGGGGCUUCUUCAAAAGGAGGUGGAGGAGGAGGAAAAGAUGACGAACCUUCAAAACCUCUGAGUGUUGGAUCAAUAAUGCUUAUUUUAUUCUUUCCUGGAGUAUUUUUGUAUUGUGUGGUGGGAGUGCUGGUAAAUAAAGGAGCAGGGAAAACAGGAAAGGAAAUGAUCCCGAACUCCAAAUUUUGGUCAGAUCUACCAGGAUUAAUAGCAGAUGGGUUUUCCUUUGUUCUUGCUAAGAUCACUUGUUCUCAGAUGACCACCUUACGACAGAGUUACAAUUCCAUGUAAUCCAGCCUAAUAUUUUAGGUCUUGACGCGUAUACAGUCUCUAUUUUUCCAGUAGGUUUUUUUCAUGACAUGCGGCUAGAUAGAACUUAGUAACUCCAGUAGUAAUUCAGUAAAAAGAAGCGGCUUAACUGAUAGUUGAGAUAAAGGCAAAAGAUAAUUAGUUAAUAUAACCCCUUACAUCCUAACAAUAGUAUGAAUUAG